UUUCAAUGAUGAUGUGUCCA
rnacentral:misc_RNA from 1 species